rnacentral:rRNA from 1 species
UACGUAGGGUGCGAGCGUUAAUCGGAAUUACUGGGCGUAAAGCGUGCGCAGGCGGUUUUGUAAGCCGGAUGUGAAAUCCCCGGGCUUAACCUGGGAAUGGCAUUCGGGACUGCAAGGCUGGAGUGCGGCAGAGGAGACUGGAAUUCCUGGUGUAGCAGUGAAAUGCGUAGAGAUGUGGAGGAAUACCGAUGGCGAAGGCAGCCUCCUGGGCCAACACUGACGCUCAUGCACGAAAGCGUGGGGAGCAAACAGG